rnacentral:tRNA from 1 species
GGGCCCGUAGCUCAGCUGGCUAGAGCAUUGCUAUGGCAUAGCAAGGGUCGCGAGUUCGAAUCUCGCCGGGUCCA